ACUCCUACGGGAGGCAGCAGUGAGGAAUCUUGGUCAAUGGACGCAAGUCUGAACCAGCCAUGUCGCGUGAAGGAGGACGGCCCUAAGGGUUGUAAACUUCUUUUGCAGCGGAAUAAAGUUUGCCACGAGUUGGCGAUUUGCAAGUACGCUGCGAAUAAGGAUCGGCUAACUCCGUGCCAGCAGCCGCGGUAAU
rnacentral:rRNA from 1 species